UCUAGAAACUUUUCAGGGGAAAAGAGGGCGUUUGACGUGUGGGUGGGUGUGCGGACAGCGCCGGCAGGAGCAGCAGGAGCGGCGAACGCCCGGGGCUGGGCUGCAGACGGAUGUAAAUUACAUUUGGAAAGAUCAGGCUCCAAGGCUCUCAUUUGCCCUCACCAGAUACUUAGAAUAAGAUUUCGGUGUGACAGUAAUUUUGCCAAUGGAGGUCGACUCCCCAAAACAUCACCCUGCGAAGCACAGCGCAUGUAAAGCUGCAGGGGAAUAAAACAAGAGCAGUGCUGAUGUGCUCAAAAGACAUCUAAGUGUUCCACUUGAAUUGGCUGCGACCAGAGUCGGCUGGACACUGUGCUCAUUUCCUUUGGCUCAAGUCCCUGAGCUCCACAGAAGCACAGAUUUGGCGAGGUGCUGAACUCCUGAGUGAAAAUGAAGUCACAACUCCAGAAGAGAUUCACAGAUUGCGAUGUACCACGCUGCCAGUUGCCAGUGCUCUUUCUACCUCCACUGAGAACAUGGAGAGAUUCUGCAACUACAGAAGGAGGAAAGAAAAGUUCACGCCCCACAACUGGAGAGUAGCCCUCGCUUGCCACAACUAGUGAAGCCCACGUGGAGCAACAAAAACUCAGAGCAGGCAUAAAUAAAUAAAUAGGUAUUAAAAUUAAAAAAAAAAAAGAAAGGACUUCCUGCUGUCAAGGCAUAACAAACACCAGCACAAGACAAGUGAGGGAGAAUCUUAGCUGAGAAAAGAUGUUUCUGUUAUAGAAGAUGCCCCACCUCACCGCCCCCCAUCCCAAGCCUAGCUUGAGGGAGGCCCUCCUCCAGGAAAGGCUUGGGUGUUCAGAGUCAGAAUCAGCAGGCUUUUGUUGAAUAGACAGAUGCUGCAUACAAGGCAGCUCCAUGUACUUCUUUCUACUACACCCUUUUAAUAUUUGAACUUAAGAGAAACCUCCAACUUUUUCCCAAAUGGAAUUUUAUUUUGAAAUGAGAUCCUGCAGCGUGAGGACCAACUACAGAAAUACUUUAGUGUUAAGAGACCUGCACAGCCUGAAACAUUUUUCCUAACUUGGACCACUGUUCCAUGUGCAUCCAGAGGCUGUACCGCAGCCUACACUAACAGCUUGUUCUUAACCUCCCACUCCAAAGAUUUACUGAGAAUUUCUUUCUGAGCAGAACUACUCUCGUAAAAGAAAUAGUAGCAGCAUGUUGUGUUAGUUAGGAUAAUUGCUAUAAUAGAAAGAUCCAAGUAAAGAACAUAGCUCACAUACGGUAGUUUAUUUCUUGCUUCUAGGGUUGUAUAACUUUUGAACUGUGGUGUUGGAGUCCCUUGGACUGCAAGGAGAUCAAAUCAGUCAAUCCUUAAGGAAAUCAGUCCUGAAUAUUCAUUAGAAGGACUGAUGCUGAAGCUGAAACUCCAAUACUUGGGCCACCUGAUGCGAAGAACUGGCUCAUUGGAAAAGACCCUGAUGCUGGGAGAGAUUGAAGGCAGGAGAAGGGGAUAACAGAGGAUGAGAUGGUUGGAUGGCAUCACUGACUUGAUGGACAUGAGUUUGAGCAAGCUCUGGGAGUUGGUGAUGGACAGGGAAGCCUGGCGUGCUGCAGUCCGUGGGGUCUCAGUCAGACACAACUGGGCGACUGAACUGAGGGUUGCAGAGCAGCACUUCUCCCUGUAGCCAUUUAGGAACCCAGGUUAAUGAAAGCCUGCAAAAGGCAUGGAGGAAACAUCUAGGAGGUUUUUAUGAAUCUAGAAGUAGGGCUGUUGUCAUUUUUUUGCUAAGUCAUGUCCGACCUGGCGACCCCAUGGACUGUAGCCCACCAGGCUCUUCUUGUCUACAGGAUUUCCCAGGCAAGAAUACUGGAGUGGGUUGCCAAAGAAAAUUUUCAUAGAGGAUUGAGUCCCCAGGAUGAGGGUGAGCGAUGUGGAGCGUAUCCAUCCUACUUUCAUCAACCUAGAGACCACUGAUGGCCAUUGGCAUUAGUUACCAUCCAGAGGAUUUGAUGCUGAAGCUGAAACUCUAAUACUUUGGCCACUUCAUGUGAAGAGUUGACUCAUUGGAAAAGACCCUGAUGCUGGGAGGGACUGGGGGCGGGAGGAGA